UCAACGACCCUGCUACUGCUUCGCGUCCCAAUCCUAAUUUCCAAACCUGACUCUCUGCUUCGGAUGACCGUUGUCGGUCCCCGAGGUCGGGGUGUCUCCACCCUAUAAAUACCCGUCGUCUCCUCUCCUCUCCUCUCGUUCUUUGUAUCCUUCUGGUUCUGCUCGCGUUUUUCUUCUUUUCUCUCUCGCCCACAGCGUCUCUGCGAGAAAAAGAAGGAAGUAGCGGUCGCGAUUUAAGCGUUCUUCAUGGGGUCCCCUUCUUCUUCUUCUUCUUCUUCUUUUUUCCUUCUUGUUUCCGUUUCUUGAUCUUGGGCCGAUUGCUUUUUCUCGAUCUUGAUUUUUGAAGACGUCUUGUUGCAGAAACCCCCCGCCCUUGCUUACGAGCUUGGCCUCUUUGGGAGAGGACGAUGUAUCGGAAUUAUUUGGUCUUCGAUAGAUCUACCGUUAUUGGUUUCACCAGCAUAUUCUGGAUUUUUGUUCUUCGGCGAAUCCGCAGUGCCUUCUUUCCUCUCGGAUCAUAUAUCUUGACGGUUGAGGAUGGUCGUUAUGGGAGUUGUUUCGUUUAGCUCCUCCUCCGAUCCUCUUUAUUGAUCCAUCGACCGAUGGAUGUUUCCGUUUACUUGUUUACGAGCUGCUUCUGGGUUUUUGUUAUUUGGUGAAUUCGCAGUGGCCUUCUUUUUCCCCCUGGAGCGAAUGGACGGUGACACUGUGGCUUCUUUCUUCUUGGAGCGAUCAUUUUGUCUGAGGCUGUUGUUUGAGGAAAAUGAAUACAAUGCAACUGGUCAGUUGGUUACAUAGAAUAGGACGUUUGGGCUUUUUGGAGGACUAAUGAUCUAUCUUGCACUCUUUGGUUGAGCUGAUGAUCUAGAAGUCUUUGUCUUCAGGACAAGCAAUGGACCGAAAUUUUGACAACCUUCUAGGCUUCUUUUACAGGUUGGAAUUCUUAUUGGAUUUGACAGCUGGUGAUCUGUUGUGUUUUCUGUGGGGCUGAGUUUAUAAUCGUUUGAAAUUGGAUGAGCUCCUGCUUCUUGGAAUUUAUGCAGUUAUUGGUUUGAAUGAAACUUGUUCUUUAGUUCUUGGAAAUCAUGCAACUAGUUUAUGCAGGAUAUAUUCGUCAUGGUGCUUAUAGUAGACUCUUGGCAAAUCUAACUUUAGUUGGCACUUAUGACUUUCGAUUUUAUUUCUUUUGUUAACUGAUUUUGGAUGGUCUUCUGAAUAUUGUAAGAUGAUAGCCAAUACCAGUUAUUCUUUGGCAGAUUAGAGCCUUUCUCCACGUGAUUGGAUGGAAAACUUUUGAUUUGUAUGUCUUACCUUUUUCUUUGAUGGAACUACCCUGCAUGUUAUUUAUCACUGACUUGUUCUUUUCAACAUAAUUUGUUGCACAUUCACUGGGCAAUACAUUUCUUGCAUAUGCAUUUGUUUUGACUUGGUGUGUAUGUCUGCUUGAAUUUCGUGUCAAUAUGUUAAAGUUGGUUUAUUUGAAGAAUUUUUUGUCAGAUUUCUUUUGUGCUUAUAUUAGAUGAGAUUGAUGUUGUUUAGAUGGUAAUUUCUUAGGGUGAGAUGUUAUUUUGGUGUGACCUAUUUGUCCCUUUUUUCUCUAUGUUAUUAGGAACUUGUAGGAUAGGUUCUUUUCCAAAGUAAUUAUUUGUUUUUCACACUGUUUUUUGCAGUAACAUUACCUUUUGGAAAAACUUCACCAAAUGUAUAGUAUGUAGUGUUUUCACUUAUAAAGCGAUGUUGUUGGAUGGUACAUCAAUAGAUUGAUCUUUGCAUUAAAUUGUUAACAAGAUGAUUCUGGAUUUCGGUGGAUUGGCAGUUGCAUCUUUCUUCUUGGAGCAAUCUCUUCAUCUGAGCGUGUCGUCUAAGGAUGCUAAAUACAUAGAAGCUUGUCAGUUAACAUAGAAUAAGGUGGCUUGGGUUUCUUGGUGGAGUGGUGAUCUAUUAUGCCGUCUUUGUUUGCUUGAGUUCUGAAGUAGUCUUUGAUCACAUCUUCAGGACGGGCGAUAGACUGAAAUUUUGAAGAUUUCAAGGCAUUUUUAGUUUUGAUUUAAGUUGGUCUUCAGUUGAUUAUCUUUGGGGAGUAGUGUGAUAAUUAUUGUUGAGUUCUAGUUCCUCUUCAGGUUGAAGUUUUCCCGGGUUUGAGAAGUGGAGAUAUAUUGCGUUCUUCUGUGGGGCUGAGUUGAUGAUUGUUUGAAAUUGGACAAGCAGCGGCUUCGUGGAUUCUAGGCUGUUGAAACUCUUUAGGGCUACGAAUUAUAAAUCUACAAUUGCGGCAUGAUCCUUUGCCAAUGAUGAUCUGUCAUCCAGAUACUCUAAUUCAUGGUUCUAGUGUAUCUCUUUCUCAUCUGCUCCACAAGGGUUGUUCGGAGUCAUCCUCCUUCUAAUUGGAGAUAUUAAAUGAUGAUCGGUUUCAUUUGCUUUGGUAUUUACUUUGAAGGAAUUAAUUUUGAAGAAUCUGGCUAGGUCGAUUUCCAAAAGAAUGUUGGUGAAGGCUCUGAUUUUAUGUGGAAAAUAUCAACGUUAUUGAGGUUUAAGUCUCCCACUGAUCAUAUUAACUAGUGGCUUCCAUGCUAUACGGAUUUAUUCAGUUGUCAGGUGCUUGUUCCAGUUUAGAGCGAUCUCCCUAAGGACCGUGUGUGGUUGCUAAUUGAUCAAAGCUGUUAGAGAAUCCAAGUUCUUGAGUUGGGAAAGACAGGAGGUUAUUAUCUAACGGAAUUAUGUGUAGUUGAGCUACUGAAUUGUUAUUUUUCUUUGUGAAUCGGGGUGAUGAGCGAUGUCUGGAUCUUUCUUCAAGGAUUGUCUGUAGCUGCAUGAACUCUGCAAAUAUCUGGUUUAUGAUAUUUUCAUUUUCAAGGAUUAGAGGAGAUGCGAUAAAGAUCUAUUCCAUUGCUUUUUAUAUAUUUAUCUCGUCUGUGAUCUCUUCCUGUUGUAGGUUGGAGUCUUUUUGUUGCCAAUUAUGCUGAAUUCAACAUGGUUUGUGUUGUAGUGUAUUGACCCAUUUUAACUAACUUUUAGGGGAAUGAUUUGAUUUAGCAAGCUUUUACUUUUUGCUUCUCAUGGGGUAUUUAUGGUAUGAAUGGCUUAUUUUUGGUGCCAGUUCAGGUCUCUCUCUUCGAUGAUGUCAUGCUCUCAUCUUCAUCUGCGAACUUCACCGGAUGAAACUACAAUUACUACAGUUGAAUCUGGUGUCUGAGGCUAAGUCUAGUUGUUGCUUAGCUUGGUCAUUUGGGGCUUUUACUUAUUGCUUCUUCUGGGGAUAUUUUUGGUAUAAUGGUUAAUUUUGGGCGCCAGUUCAAGUCUCUCUCUUUGAUGAUGUUUUGAUCUCGUCGUUUUUCUGUGAACUUCACCGGAUAAAACUACAAGUGAGUCCUGUUUCAAGGCUAAGUCCAGUUGUUGCUUUGCUUGGUCAUUUGGUGGCACACAUCUGUUGCAGUUUGACUUAUCGGAUGCUUCUACCUUAUACUGUGAGAUAGGAAACUGAUUACAGAUAUUCAGUAACAUCAUGGCAGAUUAUCUGUUUCUACUUUCAUUUGGUCUGGUGCAGUAUGUAGAAGCUCUCUCUUCAGGAUUCUCUAAAUUGAAUCUCCAGUUAUAUAUACCUGACUAAUUAGUUUUAUAUUAUUUGUGUUUUGAAAUCGAGAGUUACUUGGCCACGAGCUCGCUCGCUCGAUCCCUCUACAUAAAUUCACCCCUCACUCUCUCCGAAACUCGUAAUCUAUUAUCAUCGUUUUCUGAGGAAGUUGGCUCUAGUUUGUACCUUCAAAAGUAUAUCUGCAAGGAUGCUUGGGAAUAUAUGCUCGUGGGGACGCAUGGAAUGGAUGGUUCGGAUGUUUUUGCCAUCUUUUAUGAGCUCGCUCUUUGAAUUGGAUGGUGCGCUGGACAUGUUGCUUUAAGGAGGGUUCGUGUGUUGUAUGAGCUAUACCUGAUGUUGAACUUGACCCAAAAAAAAAAAAAAAACUAGCUGUUUUGAAGACCUUGCAAGGAAAUUGUGCCUUCUGCAGGAUGUAUGGAGCUUGGACAAUUUUGCUUGUAUUUUUGGUAUCUUCAACAUAUUUCUGUCUAUUGUCAGUUGCUCACUUUGUUGAGCAAAUUGUGCAACUUUGUAUUUGCACGAGUGAGACAGUUGUGGCUGGCAAACAAUCGAGCAUAAUUGUGCAAAUAGCACUUGUUAUCAUUUUGGUCAGGGUGUGAUGUGCUAACUCUUGGAAGUGGUGUCCUUUCAUGAUCUGUAUUUUGUGGAGACUUCAAGUUCUUGAGAUUUGCCAAAUGAGGCGGGGAUUUUCUUGUAACUAGUCUUGGAUUUUCAUUUGUGGCAUCUAAUCGUGGGUGUUCUCAGUCAAGUUUCCUAAUUGGAAUUUUGAGUGUUUUGCUAA